UGGUGAAGUGAUUUGUCUGGUUAAGUCCGAUAACGAACGAGACUCAAAUGCUUAAUUGAGGUAAUAUUACAGGGGGACUCCCAGGCUGAUGUGCUUCGGUGCGUUGGUUAUGGGGUUUCCAAUUUAAUGUAGUUUGCCCUUUCUUAAGCAGACUGAUGAGCAUUUAAUAAUAGCCAUAGGAGGCUUUGAGCAAAAACA
rnacentral:rRNA from 1 species